rnacentral:rRNA from 1 species
UACCAGCACCCCGAGUGGUCGGGACGAUUAUUGGGCCUAAAGCAUCCGUAGCCGGUCCUGCAAGUCUUCCGUUAAAUCCACCUGCUCAACAGUUGGGCUGCGGGGGAUACUACAGGGCUAGGAGGCGGGAGAGGCAAGCGGUACUCAGUGGGUAGGGGUAAAAUCCGCUGAUCCAUUGAGGACCACCAGUGGCGAAGGCGGCUUGCCAGAACGCGCUCGACGGUGAGGGAUGAAAGCUGGGGGAGCAAACCGG